CUGUGACUGUUUAGAUGGUCGUG
rnacentral:miRNA from 2 species